GAAAAGUUUGAUUCUUGCUUAAUUGUGCAUUUUUAUAAUAAAAAAUACAUUUAAAUUUUUAUAAGACAACUUAACUAUUAAGAUUAAAGGUCUAUUAGUGCAACAGCCAUGUUUAUAAAAUCGAAGUAUUAAAUAUUAACAUUAUAAUUCAAAAAUUAUAUUAGUAAUUAUAUUAAUCCUGACUAAAAAUUUGUGCCAGCAGUCGCGGUUAUACUUAGGGGGUAGAUGUACAUACAUUGAUAAGUAGUUAAAUGGUAUUUAAAUAUUAUUAAAAUUAUUUUAUUAAAGUUAAUAAAAGGUGAAAUUAGUUUAUUAAUUACCUAAUAGAGUAUUUGAUUAUUAUGUAUUGAAGCUAGCUAAUUUGUGGUAUAAACUAGGAUUAGAUACCCUAUUAUACACUUAUAACAUAUAAAAAUGUCAGACUAUUUUUAGUUAUGUUCUUUAAAAUCAAAGAACUUGGCGGUAUUCUAGUCUUGUUAGAGGAACCUGUUUUAUAAACGAUAAACCACGCAGUAUCUCACUUAACUUUGUCGCCAGUUUGUAUACCGUCAUUAUUAGAUAAUUCUUACAGGAUGAAAUUAUUGGAAUAAUAACUACAUUAAUAUAUUAGAUCAAGGUGCAGCUUAUAGUUAAGUAAAAAUGGGUUACAAUAAUAACAUAGUUACAACGGAAUAAGCCCCAAAAUAAGGUUUAUGAAGGUGGAUUUAAUUGUAAUUUUAUUUUAACAAGAGAAGAUGAUAUUAGCUCUAGAUUAUGUACAUAUCGCCCGUCGCUUUCAUUAUAAGUGAAAUAAGUCGUAACAGAGUAGGUGUACUGGAAAGUGUACCUAGUAAGAC
rnacentral:ncRNA from 1 species